rnacentral:rRNA from 1 species
GUAGGUGGCAAGCGUUGUCCGGAAUUAUUGGGCGUAAAGCGCGCGCAGGCGGUUCUUUAAGUCUGAUGUGAAAGCCCACGGGCUCAACCGUGGAGGGUCAUUGGAAACUGGAGAACUUGAGUACGGAAGAGGAAAGCGGAAUUCCACGUGUAGCGGUGAAAUGCGUAGAGAUGUGGAGGAACACCAGUGGCGAAGGCGGCUUUCUGUUCUGUAACUGACGCUGAGGCGCGAAAGCGUGGGGAGCAAACAGGAUUAGAUACCCUGGUAGUCCACGCCGUAAACGAUGAGUGCUAAGUGUUAGGGGGUUUCCGCCCCUUAGUGCUGCAGCUAACGCAUUAAGCACUCCGCCUGGGGAGUACGGCCGCAAAGGCUG